CCUACGGGUGGCAGCAGUCGAGAAUCAUUCACAAUGGGGGAAACCCUGAUGGUGCGACGCCACGUGGGGGAAUGAAGGUCUUCGGAUUGUAAACCCCUGUCAUGUGGGAGCAAAUUAAAAAGAUAGUACCACAAGAGGAAGAGACGGCUAACUCUGUGCCAGCAGCCGCGGUAAUACAGAGGUCUCAAGCGUUGUUCGGAAUCACUGGGCGUAAAGCGUGCGUAGGCUGUUUCGUAAGUCGUGUGUGAAAGGCGCGGGCUCAACCCGCGGACGGCACAUGAUACUGCGAGACUAGAGUAAGGGAGGGGGAACCGGAAUUCUCGGUGUAGCAGUGAAAUGCGUAGAUAUCGAGAGGAACACUCGUGGCGAAGGCGGGUUCCUGGACAUUAACUGACGCUGAGGCACGAAGGCCAGGGGAGCGAAAGGGAUUAGAUACCCGUGUAGUC
rnacentral:rRNA from 1 species